rnacentral:rRNA from 1 species
ACAUUGGACAAUGGGCGAAAGCCUGAUCCAGCCAUGCCGCGUGUGUGAAGGAGGUCUUCGGAUUGUCAAGCUCUAUAAGUUGGGAGGAAGGGUUGUAGAUUACUACUCUGCAAUUUUGACGUUACCAACAGAAUAAGCACCGGCUAACUUCGCGCCAGCAGCCGCGGGAAUACAGAGUGUGCAAGUGUUAAUCGGAAUUAAUGGGCGUAAAGCGCGCAUAGGUGAUUCAGUAAGAUGGGUGUGAAAUCCCCGGGCUUAACCUGGGAACUGCUUUCAUAACUGCUGAGCUAGAGUACGGUAGAGGGUAGUGGAAUUUCCUGUGUAGCGGUAAAAUACGUAGAUAUAAGAAGGAACACCAGUGGCGAAGGCGACCACCUGGGCUAAUACUGACACUGAGGUGCGAAGGCGUGGGGAGCAAAC